GAAAUGACAAAACAUAAUGUCAGUGAAAGAGAAUGGGGAAAAGGCAGAGAAUGCAGCAAGAGUUAAGAGGAAAGCCAGCAAGGAGGUGGUCGUCUAUAACCCAGGAAGAGAGGCCUCGACAGAAACUAACCUUGAUGGCACCUUGAUCUUAGACUUCCAGCCUCCAGAAGUAGUUAACAGCUUACUUGCUCCAGAAAAGAGAAAAUAAUGGAAGAAAAGGAAGACCGUC